GUGGGGAAUCUUAGACAAUGGGGGAAACCCUGAUCUAGCCAUGCCGCGUGAGCGAUGAAGGCCUUAGGGUUGUAAAGCUCUUUCAGCUGGGAAGAUAAUGACGGUACCAGCAGAAGAAGCCCCGGCUAACUCCGUGCCAGCAGCCGCGGUAAUACGGAGGGGGCUAGCGUUGUUCGGAAUUACUGGGCGUAAAGCGCGCGUAGGCGGACUGAAAAGUUGGGGGUGAAAUCCCGGGGCUCAACCUCGGAACUGCCUUCAAAACUAUCAGUCUGGAGUUCGAGAGAGGUGAGUGGAAUUCCGAGUGUAGAGGUGAAAUUCGUAGAUAUUCGGAGGAACACCAGUGGCGAAGGCGGCUCACUGGCUCGAUACUGACGCUGAGGUGCGAAAGCGUGGGGAGCAAACAGGAUUAGAAACCCCGGUAGUCC
rnacentral:rRNA from 1 species